rnacentral:rRNA from 1 species
UACGGAGGGGGCAAGCGUUGUUCGGAAUUACUGGGCGUAAAGGGCGCGCAGGCGGCUGCUCAAGUCAGGCGUGAAAGGCCUGGGCUCAACCCGGGAAUUGCGCUUGAGACUGGGCUGGCUUGAGUGCGGGAGAGGAUGGUGGAAUUCCCAGUGUAGAGGUGAAAUUCGUAGAUAUUGGGAAGAACACCGGUUGCGAAGGCAGCUCGCUGGGACGUUACUGACGCUGAGACGCGAAAGCGUGGGGAGCAAACAGG